rnacentral:rRNA from 1 species
AUACGGAGGGUGCAAGCGUUAUCCGGAAUCAUUGGGUUUAAAGGGUCCGUAGGCGGACUAUUAAGUCAGAGGUGAAAUCCCACAGCUCAACUGUGGAACUGCCUUUGAUACUGGUAGUCUUGAGUUAUAUGGAAGUAGAUAGAAUGUGUAGUGUAGCGGUGAAAUGCAUAGAUAUUACACAGAAUACCGAUUGCGAAGGCAGACUACUACGUAUAUUCUGACGCUAAGGGACGAAAGCGUGGGGAGCGAACAGGAUUAGAAACCCUAGUAGUCC